rnacentral:rRNA from 1 species
GAUGAACGCUGGCGGCGUGCCUAAUACAUGCAAGUCGAGCGAACGGACGAGGAGCUUGCUCCUCUGACGUUAUCGGCCGACGGGUGAGUAACACGUGGAUAACCUACCUAUAAGACUGGGAUAACUUCAGGAAACCGGAGCUACUACCGGAUAAUAUAUUGAACCGCAUUGUUCACGAGUUCAAUACGGUCUUGCUGUCACUUAUAGAUGGAUCCGCGCUGCAUUAGCUAGUUGGUAAGGUAACGGCUUACCCAGGCAACGAUGCAUAGCCGACCUGAGAGGGUGAUCGGCCAGACGGGAAGUGAGACACGGUCCAGACUCCGACGGGAGGAAGCAGUAGGGAAUCUUCCGCAAUGGGCGAAAGCCUGACGGAGCAACGCCGCGUGAGUGAUGAAGGUCUUCGGAUCGUAAAGCUCUGUUAUUAGGGAAGAAGAAAUGUGUAAGUAACUGUGCACAUCUUGACGGUACCUAAACAGAAAGCCACGGCUAACUCCGUG